rnacentral:lncRNA from 1 species
AUUUUUACAGAAAACUCAGAAAGAUAAAUGAAAACUGUGGAAGGGAUGAAUCUGGAGCAGCGUUUUCUAAAACUUAAGCUUAAGGGAUAGAAGUUUACAUAAAUUUUAAAAAGUGAGAAGGUAAGCAAGCAGAGAUCAUGUAUGGAAGUGCAUUCACUCCUUCUCUGAUUAAGUGUGGGGAAGAAAAUAAUUUCUUUGGGGAAGAAAAUAAUGCUAGGACUUCUGAAAUAGUGGAGUAGAGAGUCAUUGGAUCAUCUCCAACAAUAUAAACAUAGAACUGGUCAAAAUCAUGAACAAAACAAUUAUUUCAAAUGUCUGGAAAGACAUAUUCAAAAAAAUAAAUAUUCAUUUGAAUAAACUUACUAAAUAUUGUAAACCAAAUGAGAGUCUGUGACAUGUAUGCCCCAACCUGCUCUGACCAGGUGUAUUUAAGAAAAUGGAACUCCACCUUCCUCAGUUUAUAACCUGAGUGUAAUGGUUAAUUUGAAUUGUCAACUUGAUUGAAUUAAGAGAUGCAGAAGAGUCAGAGCUACUGGGUCUGUCAAGGAGGGUUGGAAUGAUUGGCAUGUGGAUUAGGGAAUUAAAGUGGAACCUCCCUAAGGUUGAGCAGCACCAUCCAAUAGGUUGGAGACUUGGAUGGAAUAAAAGUGGAAGAACAAAGAAGUAACAGCAACUGCAAGCUUGAUUGUUCUUGAAGGAGUUCUUGGUGGCUGCUGCAAUUGCCAGAGGAUAUCAGACUCUCAUUCCUUCACUCUCCCAAAGCAACAAUGCCAGGAAUUCUCAGGGAGUUUCCAGAAGCCUUCAGUCUCAGACUGGGGUAGCAUCAUUUAUCUCUCUGUCCUGAAGCUUCAUCAUCUUGGACUGUGCAGCUAGUGGUUCCUUCAGCUGUCCAGCCUGCAGACAGGGAUUGUGGACUAUCCAGCUUCCAUUUGUGUAAUCCAAUAUAAUAAACCCCCCUUUUCAUCAUCAUUCCCCUGGUUGCUCUAUUCCUCUAGAGAACCCUGACUAAUACUAAUAAAAAGUUUCACAUGGGAGGAGCAGGCUGCCUAUGUUUAUCAUAACCCUCAAUCUCCAGGACCAUGCUGAAAAGACUUUAAUUUCAUCAAUAGCUGAGAAAAGUAUGGUUCUCUUUAUUCACCCAGCCCUCACACCCAGGGGUGGAAGCUCUACUCUAUUUAAUGUUCAGCAGGCCACGAAAGCUGAAGCCUUCGUCACUACUCACCUCUACUCCAGCAUACUCACAAGGCUCAAGUUCAAGUCUCAGAGAGUAAAAACGGAGGCACAAAGGCUUCCACUGUCACAGAGUGCCAAUCAUGGG